GGUCUACUCCCUUCGACGGCCGUUACACAUUUAAUUCAAAGUAAAUGUAAAUUCUUUAUUUUUAUGUAGUUGUGUGGGACAGCCAUAUGUUCAGUUCAUGCCUAUGUUUUCAGAGUUCAACAAAGCCAACAACUGCUUCAUGUGUGCCACUGAUAAAGAACCUGGAUGUGGCCCAAAGACUGACUGGAUGGCAUGCAAAACAUUCAAACGGUGGUUCCAUGUGCUGUGCCUAGGAAUGAAGACAAAAGAGUUCAACAGAGUAAAGAACACAAACUGGAAGUGCAGUCUUUGUUGUUGAAAAUGUAUGCUAUACCCCAUCCACACAGGCUCUGAAAUGUACAUCAACCAGGGAUAAAGAGAAAGUUAACACUGAAAUAUUUCGUACUUAUUUGAAGUAAAAUGUCUGUUCACAUGUUGGGAAAGAUUAAAGGUCUACAAUUUCUGUUUA